UAGUUCCAUUUUUCACGCACG
ensembl:piRNA 21ur-3251 ncRNA